UUGAGUUGUUUAGUUAUUGUUGUUUAGGGGAUCUUUGGCCAUAUAGGCCGAUCUCCUGGUUGUGAUGUUGGUACUACGGGUCCUAUGCCAUAUAGGCCGGACUACUAGUACUAAUGGUUAGUGUCGUAGACUCCUAAGUAUUGUUUAGUUUUGGAUAGGAGUCUUGUCCCUUAGGUUUUUCCUAGGGAUUAUGUGUCAAGUGUUGUGCCGAUAGCAGGUGCGAAACCCGCCCAUGCUAGGCAUGUUUGGGGUGGACUAGUGUUUCCUCGCCCUCGUAUUCAGUGGGUUCAAGGAAACCCCUUAUUCGCUGGAUCGGG
rnacentral:lncRNA from 1 species